rnacentral:rRNA from 1 species
CCAGACUCCUACGGGAGGCAGCAGUCGGGAAUAUUGCACAAUGGAGGAAACUCUGAUGCAGUGACACCGCGUAUAGGAAGAAGGUCUUAGGAUUGUAAGCUAUUGUCGUGUGAGAAGAAAAUGACCAUCACAGGAGGAAGCCCUGGCUAAAUAUGUGCCAGCAGCCGCGGUAAUACAUAUGGGGCGAGCGUUAUCCGGAUUUAUUGGGUGUAAAGGGUGCGUAGGCGGGAAAAUAAGUCAGUAUGUGAAAUCCCUCGGCUCAACUGAGGAACUGCAACUGAAACUAUUUUUCUUGAGUGUUGAAGGGGAAAGUGGAAUUCCUAGUGUAGCGGUGAAAUGCGUAGAGAUUAGGAGGAACACCAGUGGCGAAGGCGACUUUCUGGGCAACAACUGACGCUGAGGCACGAAAGUGUGGGGAGCAAACAGGAUUAGAUACCCUGGUAGUCCACACCGUAAACGAUGGAUACUAGGAGUUGGCAAAAAUAUUGUCGGUUCCGCAGUUAACGCGUUAAGUAUCCCACCUGGGGAGUACGACCGCAAGGUUAAAACUCAAAGGAAUUGACGGGGGCCCGCACAAG